CCUACGGUCAGCAGCAGUGGGGAAUAUUGGACAAUGGGCGAAAGCCUGAUCCAGCCAUGCCGCGUGUGUGAAGAAGGCCUUCGGGUUGUAAAGCACUUUCAGUGGGGAAGAAAGCCUUGGGGCUAAUACCCUCGAGGAAGGACAUCACCCACAGAAGAAGCACCGGCUAACUCCGUGCCAGCAGCCGCGGUAAUACGGAGGGUGCGAGCGUUAAUCGGAAUUACUGGGCGUAAAGCGCGCGUAGGCGGUCUGAUAAGCCGGUUGUGAAAGCCCCGGGCUCAACCUGGGAACGGCAUCCGGAACUGUCAGGCUAGAGUGCAGGAGAGGAAGGUAGAAUUCCCGGUGUAGCGGUGAAAUGCGUAGAGAUCGGGAGGAAUACCAGUGGCGAAGGCGGCCUUCUGGACUGACACUGACGCUGAGGUGCGAAAGCGUGGGUAGCAAACAGGAUUAGAUACCCCAGUAGUC
rnacentral:rRNA from 1 species